rnacentral:rRNA from 1 species
CCUACGGGAGGCAGCAGUAGGGAAUCUUCCACAAUGGGCGAAAGCCUGAUGGAGCAACGCCGCGUGGGUGAAGAAGGUCUUCGGAUCGUAAAACCCUGUUGUUAGAGAAGAAAGUGCGUGAGAGUAACUGUUCACGUUUCGACGGUAUCUAACCAGAAAGCCACGGCUAACUACGUGCCAGCAGCCGCGGGAAUCCGUAGGUGGCAAGCGUUAUCCGGAUUUAUUGGGUUUAAAGGGUGCGCAGGCGGCGUGUCAAGUCAGCGGUAAAAUGGCGGGGCUCAACCCCGGCCGGCCGUUGAAACUGGCUGUCUUGAGAUGUCGAGAGGUAUGCGGAAUGCGCAGUGUAGCGGUGAAAUGCUUAGAUAUUGCGCAGAACUCCGAUUGCGAAGGCAGCAUACCGGCGGCGAUCUGACGCUGAGGCACGAAAGCGUGGGUAUCGAACAGGAUUAGAUACCCCUGUAGUC